UAUAAACACGUGAACGUAGUGUAUAAGACACGCGUAGGGAGCGACGUGACGUGUCGGCUUUAAAUAGUGAAAAACACAGUCGCCGUUAUUUUGUACGUAGUGUGAACUCGGCAUAAUAAUAGUGAUAUAAUAAUAUUAUUACUGAGCGGCACGCGCGGAAAACGGAUAACGCGUUUUCCCGAUGACUUUCCGAAGUCCGCGAUCGAUCGACGGGCGACGAGAAGAUAUACUUGAUAUUACUAUAUGCACGUCAGUGUAUACGUAAACUGUAAAGUAUGAGUAUGGCGGCGGUAGCCCGUGAGUCACUCUAUCAGAGUCUUACACUCGGUGACUCAUAUUAUUAUUAUGAUUACGAUUUGAAUAUUUUACUCAGCGCGCCGCCGGAGUACAGAUACGUGUAGCUCUUUUAAUGAACUCGCGUUCGUCGAGGAUCGUCAAUAGCAUUGAUCCUAUAUUAAAUUUAGUUGGGUUAUUGUGGUAUUUGUGGAUUUGAAUGAUUACACCGCAGUACCAACAAAGUGACUAGUUCAAAAUGACACAAAUAAUCUAAAAAAUAGUAGGUACGGUUUUGUAAAUGGCCACUUGGUCGAGUAACCAGUACCUACUGACAUUUAUGGUGCCCUAGAUCCAGAACGAACUUGGUUUGAGUAUGGUAUUAAAAUAGUUUGUGGCAAUAGAACAUGUAUGUAUUCAUCCGCCCAGACGUCUCAAACGUAAUUGGUGCCGUGAUCUUCUUGACCCCCCUUCAAACAAUUAAAAAAAGAAAUAGUAAUCAUCAGUGUGUGUCAUUAAUGAAUGGCUUCUUACAUCAAGCGUUUCAUAUUUACCAACAACUCGGAUAAUUUUAAAAAAGGUGGCAUAUACGAGUUGAAAAAGAAUCGGAAAAUGAAGAGGUUCAAUUGAUGACCGAACGUAAACGUACAACGCUUAAUGUAUCAGACAGUAACAAUGACUUCAAUCUAUCCUAAUUAAUUGUAGUUCCUACAGGAUACUGUAUAGCACCUUCAUCCACUUCUACAUUUAAGUUACCCAGUAAUGAAAAGGCUGUACACUAUACAGAGAAUAAAUCACCUUGACUGAAACAAUGCACAAACCAAAAUAAACCAAAUGAAACAUUCCAAUCAUUAUUAUCGGAUCAAAUGAGUAAGCAAUCAUGUAGUAUCAACUACCAUACAUUUAAUCAAGUUCAAGUUAUCAACCACCUCAAGAUGAACAAAAUACAAGUGCACAGAAUACACCACAUCAAUUAUGUAUCACUCCGAACACCAACACUUAUGGUAACAUUAUUAAACUUUAAAUCAUAUAUUCUGUUAAAAACAAUCAUUUUAAUAUUUCUGUUCGUAUUUAAAACUGAAACGACACCAUUUAUAAAUGCUGCAGUUCUUAACUGUCAUUAUAACAGAAAUGUUGAAAAUAACAAUAAUUAUAUUACACUUAGUCUUCACCUUCCCGAGAUGCCAAAUUUAAUCGUAUAAUAAAAUUUUAAUUUUAUUCAGUUCAAUAUUUAUUGAAGCUGCACACAGUCUUUGAGCGCAGCAAACACAAACGACAAAUUCGACCACGAUUAAUAUUUUUAAAAAAACGCUUAUACUAUUUUCAUCGUUGAUGCUUAAUUAAAGCUUAAUAUUUUAGGCUAUGCUCGAAUUAAAACGACGACUGUGGUGCGUCGAUGUCACCUCAAGCGGGCCGCUUAAGUGGUCCGGAUGAGUCAAGCAGAUCGGAGCAAGAUCCGGAAAAGAGCAAUGAUGUGGUGGCCUCGAACAACGACGCCUGUUCUGUCGAAGCACGUACCUACGGGUUACCGAUUCUCACGCAUUUAUUUCAAUGAUUUCGUACCACCCAUUAAAACCAUGAGCAACGCCGCCAUAUCGUUUGAAAUAAUAUAUUUACGUUUGCUACAACCCACCGCGGCCACGUUAAUGCAGCCACCAGUUAUGGUAUGGUGAGAUGUAAUUUCAGACAAAUCACAGUCACUCAAAUAUUUCAAAUCUGAAAAUAAACUAUGAAGAUGAACAGAUAACAGUUUGUUCGGAUAACAUUCAAUAAUAUGGAAAGGUUCUUGUUUUGCUUCAUUAAAGCAGGCAAACUCUUACAUACAGAUCAGUCACAAGCGUACACCAGUGAAAACCGAAUCAGGGUGGGCCGUUGUCGUAUGCAAAGUGAUAGUCACCCGAACGACAACAUCAGCUCUAUGGGAAGACCGUACAGGUACCUAUAUAUAUAUUCUCAUAAUUGUAUUUCCAUUAUAAAUGGCAACAUUCAUAAAAGAGCAACGACACAAAGCUACAUCACCAACUACAUGAGAAGAUAAACCCAAUUUAGAAGUUCAAAAUACAAUGCUUCGAAUUUAAUUCCAAACAUUGAAAUGAACAAAUUCGGUUUUUUUUUUGUGUCAACGAACAGUUCGUCGUUCACAUGAAAAUAUAAACACGGCGUGGAUGGAAAACCUGUACCUACACUUCUUUACUUAUAUUUAUAUUUUUAAUUUUUAAAAAGAACAUGGAAUACAGUCAUAUACCAAAAUUUCAUUUAUACUAA